rnacentral:rRNA from 1 species
UACGAAGGGGGGCUAGCGUUGUUCGGAAUUACUGGGCGUAAAGCGCACGUAGGCGGAUAUUUAAAGUCAGGGGUGAAAUCCCAGAGCUCAACUCUGGAACUGCCUUUGAUACUGGGUAUCUUGAGUAUGGAAGAGGUAAGUGGAAUUCCGAGUGUAGAGGUGAAAUUCGUAGAUAUUCGGAGGAACACCAGUGGCGAAGGCGGCUUACUGGUCCGAUUACUGACGCUGAGGUGCGAAAGCGUGGGGAGCAAACAGG